rnacentral:rRNA from 2 species
UGAGGAAUAUUGGUCAAUGGGCGAGAGCCUGAACCAGCCAAGUAGCGUGCAGGAUGACGGCCCUAUGGGUUGUAAACUGCUUUUAUGCGGGGAUAAAGUGUGCGACGUGUCGUGCAUUGCAGGUACCGCAUGAAUAAGGACCGGCUAAUUCCGUGCCAGCAGCCGCGGUAAUACGGAAGGUCCGGGCGUUAUCCGGAUUUAUUGGGUUUAAAGGGAGCGUAGGCCGCCAGAUAAGCGUGUUGUGAAAUGUACCGGCUCAACCGGUGAAUUGCAGCGCGAACUGUUUGGCUUGAGUGCACGGUAAGCAGGCGGAAUUCAUGGUGUAGCGGUGAAAUGCUUAGAUAUCAUGAAGAACUCCGAUUGCGAAGGCAGCUUGCUGCAGUGCGACUGACGCUGAUGCUCGAAGGUGCGGGUAUCAAACAGG